UAGGGAAUCUUCCACAAUGGACGCAAGUCUGAUGGAGCAACGCCGCGUGAGUGAAGAAGGGUUUCGGCUCGUAAAGCUCUGUUGUUAAAGAAGAACGUGGGUAAGAGUAACUGUUUACCCAGUGACGGUAUUUAACCAGAAAGCCACGGCAACUACGUGCCAG
rnacentral:rRNA from 1 species